rnacentral:rRNA from 1 species
GAUGAACGCUGGCGGCGUGCUUAACACAUGCAAGUCGAACGGAAAGGCUCCUGCUUGCAGGGGUUCUCGAGUGGCGAACGGGUGAGUAACACGUGGGUGAUCUGCCCUGCACUUCGGGAUAAGCCUGGGAAACUGGGUCUAAUACCGGAUAGGACGAUGGUUUGGAUGCCAUUGUGGAAAGUUUUUCGGUGUGGGAUGAGCUCGCGGCCUAUCAGCUUGUUGGUGGGGUAAUGGCCUACCAAGGCGUCGACGGGUAGCCGGCCUGAGAGGGUGUACGGCCACAUUGGGACUGAGAUACGGCCCAGACGCCUACGGGAGGCAGCAGUGGGGAAUAUUGCACAAUGGGCGCAAGCCUGAUGCAGCGACGCCGCGUGGGGGAUGACGGCCUUCGGGUUGUAAACUCCUUUCGCUAGGGACGAAGCGUUUUGUGACGGUACCUGGAGAAGAAGCACCGGCUAACUACGUG